UUCCAAUAUGCUCUGAUAUACCAUCACAACCAGAUACCUUCAAGAACUGAAGUUAAGGAACCUUGAAAGAUAGAGGAUGAAAAUAUUAAUUAGAGUGUGAUUAUGAAUGAGGAGAGGACAAAGUCAGGAGAAAGACCAAGAAAACAGAUGCUUAGUCAUUACUUGGACUUCAUGUUGAACCAGGUGCAGCUGAGUGUGGCUCUGAAGCAACUUUAUGUCCUCAACAAACAGAAAACAUAUUUUCUAUCAAUGGUUUCUCUACAAUUCAAAAUUAAAUACACGGUCUUACAUUUCUGAAUAGAUCAUAAGGGAAAAGUAAUUUUCAACAGCUGACAUGCAGCUUGGCAGUACCGAAAAAAGACAAUAGUUCACUUGCGUAGUACAUACAGACAAUGGUUUGGGAUUAGAAGUAAAAUCACAAUUUCCUGUCAAAUAAUGUCUCAAUAUCUCAAUUGAUUAUUCUAAUGAUUAUAGCUUAUUUUAGUGUCAGAAUGAAAGUCAAAUCAUUCUGAGAUGGACUCUUUAACAACUGGCUAAGACAUAAUAUUAACAGAAGGAUAGAUUGUGAAGACCAAAAAGGAAGCAAGGACACGCUCAUAUCUUAAUUUUCUUCAAAAGGUGAACCGUAUUCACAUACUACCACUGAUUCACUAAGGAAUAAUGGGUUGAACAAGCUUGAAGCCUGACUCAUUACUUCUUAAGCUGCCAAGAGAGAAAUCAAGUAAAUAAAUCCUCUACAUUAAUACA
rnacentral:lncRNA from 1 species